GCCCAGGUGUGCCCAGGUGUGGUGUCAAUGGCUCAGGUGUGGCAGGGGUCACUCAGGUGGUGCCCAGGUGUGGUGUAGAUGGCUCAGGUGAUGCCCAGGUGCACCCAGGUGUGGCAGAGGCCACUCAGGUGGUGCCCAGGUGUGCCCAGGUGUGCCCCAGGUGACGCCCAGCUGUGCCCCCGCAGCAGGUGCACCUGUCGCCCUUCGAGCUGGUGGCUCUCAAGGCUCACCUGUCCCUGGGGCUGCCCAGGUGAUGCCCAGGUGUGCCCAGGUGUGGUGUCGAUGGCUCAGGUGUGGCAGGGGUCACUCAGGUGUGCCCAGGUGACGCCCAGCUGUGCCCCCGCAGCAGGUGCACCUGUCGCCCUUCGAGCUGGUGGCGCUCGAGGCUCACCUGUCCCUGGGGCUGCCCAGGUGUGCCCAGGUGUGCCCAGGUGUGGUGUCGAUGGCUCAGGUGUGGCAGGGGUCACUCAGGUGAUGCCCCAGGUGUGGUGUAGGUGGCUCAGGUGUGCCCAGGUGUGCCCCAGGUGUGGCAGGAGUCACUCAGGUGGUGCCCAGGUGUG